rnacentral:rRNA from 1 species
CCUACGGGGGGCAGCAGUAGGGAAUUUUCGUCAAUGGGCGCAAGCCUGAACGAGCAAUGCCGCGUGAACGAGGAAGGUCUUCGGAUCGUAAAGUUCUGUUGAAGGGGAAAAAGAGCGGAGAGAGGAAAUGAACUCCGAUUGAUAUUACCCUUCGAGGAAGUCACGGCUAACUCCGUGCCAGCAGCCGCGGUAAUACGGAGGAUGCGAGCGUUAUCCGGAUUUAUUGGGUUUAAAGGGUGCGUAGGCGGAGUGUCAAGUCAGCGGUAAAAUUUCGGGGCUCAACCCCGUCGUGCCGUUGAAACUGA